GACGAACGCUGGCGGCGUGCUUAACACAUGCAAGUCGAACGGAAAGGCCCUGCUUUUGUGGGGUGCUCGAGUGGCGAACGGGUGAGUAACACGUGAGUAACCUGCCCUUGACUUUGGGAUAACUUCAGGAAACUGGGGCUAAUACCGGAUAGGAGCUCCUGCUGCAUGGUGGGGGUUGGAAAGUUUCGGCGGUUGGGGAUGGACUCGCGGCUUAUCAGCUUGUUGGUGGGGUAGUGGCUUACCAAGGCUUUGACGGGUAGCCGGCCUGAGAGGGUGACCGGACACGUUGGGCCUGAGAUGCGGCCCAGACUCCUACGGGAGGCAGCAGUGGGGAAUAUUGCACAAUGGGCGGAAGCCUGAUGCAGCAACGCCGCGUGGGGGAUGACGGCCUUCGGGUUGUAAACCGCUUUCGCCUGUGACGAAGCGUGAGUGACGGUAAUGGGUGAAGAAGCACCGGCUAACUACGUG
rnacentral:rRNA from 1 species